rnacentral:misc_RNA from 1 species
AAAAUUCGGUGAACUGUUAGGUGCCUGCCUCUGUUGAUUCAAAGAGACGAAGACCAAAAUGGGUGCUUUUGUUAAGCUAUUGGACUUGCUUCUUUUCGUUUACUUCUUGUUAAUCGCCAUUGUUGCACCACUCUUUGAUGGCCAAGUUGCCCUUCCUAAACAUAUAUUUCCUCCUGUAUUGGUUAACCUAAAGAGCUGGUACACUCAACAAUAUGGUGAUUAUUUGGUAUCUGAGAAACCCCAUUUCUUUGUUGGCUUAAUCUGGUUAGAGCUCCUCUUUGCUUGGCCCCUUUCCAUCCUUAGUCUUUAUGCCAUUGCAGCUGGAAAAUCUUGGAUUAAAACUACCUCCUUGAUGUAUGGUGUUUCCACUCUCACUGCAAUGGUG